rnacentral:tRNA from 1 species
ACCUCAGUAGUGUAAUGGUAGCACAUUAGGCUCAUGACCUGAUAGAAAUAGUUCGAUUCUAUUCUGAGGAU